GAUGAACGCUGGCGGCGUGCUUAACACAUGCAAGUCGAACGGUGAAGCAGGAGCUUGCUCUUGUGGAUCAGUGGCGAACGGGUGAGUAACACGUGAGCAACCUGCCCCUGACUCUGGGAUAAGCGCUGGAAGCGGCGUCUAAUACUGGAUAUGUGAUGUGACCGCAUGGUCUGCAUCUGGAAAGAAUUUCGGUUGGGGAUGGGCUCGCGGCCUAUCAGCUUGUUGGUGAGGUAAUGGCUCACCAAGGCGUCGACGGGUAGCCGGCCUGAGAGGGUGACCGGCCACACUGGGACUGAGACACGGCCCAGACUCCUACGGGAGGCAGCAGUGGGGAAUAUUGCACAAUGGGCGGAAGCCUGAUGCAGCAACGCCGCGUGAGGGAUGACGGCCUUCGGGUUGUAAACCUCUUUUAGCAGGGAAGAAGCGAAAGUGACGGUACCUGCAGAAAAAGCACCGGCUAACCACGUGCCAGCAGCCGCCGCGG
rnacentral:rRNA from 1 species